AUUGAACGCUGGCGGCAUGCCUAACACAUGCAAGUCGAACGAGCGGCGGACGGGUGAGUAAUGUAUGGGAACCUGCCUGAUGGAGGGGGAUAACUACUGGAAACGGUGGCUAAUACCGCAUACUAUCAGAUGUGCCCAUAUGGGAUUAGCUAGUUGGUGGGGUAACGGCUCACCUAGGCGACGAUCCCUAGCUGGUCUGAGAGGAUGACCAGCCAAACUGGAACUGAGACACGGCCCAGACUCCUGCGGGAGGCAGCAGUGGGGAAUAUUGCACAAUGGGCGCAAGCCUGAUGCAGCCAUGCCGCGUGUAUGAAGAAGGCCUUAGGGUUGUAAAGUACUUUCAGCGGGGAGGCGUUACCCGCAGAAGAAGCACCGGCUAACUCCGUGCCAGCAGCCGCGGUAAUAC
rnacentral:rRNA from 1 species